rnacentral:rRNA from 1 species
GACGAACGCUGGCGGCGUGCCUAACACAUGCAAGUCGAACGGAAAAGGCCUGCUUUUGCCGGGUUUGCGAGUGGCGCGAGGGGGUGAAACACGGGAGUAUCCCUUGCUUUGUUGUGGGAUAUCUUUAGGAGAAUGGGUCUAAUACCUGGUAGGAGCGCCGGCUACAUGGUGGGGUUUGGAAAGUUUCGGCGGUGGGGGAUGUACUCGUGGCUUAUCAGCUUGUUGGUUGGGGGGUGGCGUAGCACGGCUUCGACGGGUAGCCGGCCUGGGAGGGUGACCGGCCACAUUGGGACUGAGGUACGGCCCAGACGGCUACGUGAGGCAGCGGUGGAGAAUAUGGCACAAUGGGCGGAAGCCUGAUGCAGCGACGCCGCGUGCGGGAUGACGGUUUUAGGGUUGUAAAGCGCUUUAGCCUGUGACGAAGCGUGAGUGACGGUAAUGGGUAAAGAAGCACCGGCUAACUACGUG